GUAGGGGGCGAGCGUUGUCCGGAUUUAUUGGGCGUAAAGAGCUCGUAGGCGGUUGCGUAAGUCGGAUGUGAAAACUCAGGGCUCAACCCUGAGAUGCCAUUCGAUACUGCGCUGACUCGAGUCCGGUAGGGGAGCAUGGAAUUCCUGGUGUAGCGGUGAAAUGCGCAGAUAUCAGGAGGAACACCAGUGGCGAAGGCGGUGCUCUGGGCCGGUACUGACGCUGAGGAGCGAAAGCAUGGGUAGCAAACAGGAUUAGAUACCCUGGUAGUCCCAUGCCCGUAAACGUUGGGCACUAGGUGUGGGGCCUACUUAACGGGUUCCGUGCCGUAGCUAACGCAUUAAGUGCCCCCGCCUGGGAGUACGGCCGCAAGGCUA
rnacentral:rRNA from 1 species